rnacentral:misc_RNA from 1 species
GGAAGGAUCAUUAACGAAUUGCGUUCGGGGUUGUUGCUGGCUCUCCUCUCCGGGGGAGUAUGUGCACGCCUCGCAUCCAUUUCAACCUCACUCGUGCACUUCAGAGGACCGCUCGGUUCUCUUUUUCACACAAACCUCUGUAUAGUCAUUGUAGAACGUCUUGUAUUAAACUAAAUACAACUUUCAACAACGGAUCUCUUGGCUCUCGCAUCGAUGAAGAACGCAGCGAAAUGCGAUAAGUAAUGUGAAUUGCAGAAUUCAGUGAAUCAUCGAAUCUUUGAACGCACCUUGCGCUCCUUGGUAUUCCGAGGAGCAUGCCUGUUUGAGUGUCGUGUAAUUCUCAAUCCCGUUUGGUUUUGAAUCGAACGUGGAUUGGACUUGGGAGCUUGCUGUGCCUGUCUCUUGGUUCGGCUCUCCUUGAAUGUAUUAGCUCGGUCACGUAGUUGCCCGACGGUUCACGGUGUGAUAGUCAUUUCAUCGCCGUUCUGACUGUUUUGGUGCCUGUGUCUGCCGGCUUCUAAUACGUGUGUUGUCCUUUGUUGGAUAUAUGCACUCUUUGACAAUUGAUCUCAAAUCAGGUAGGAUUACCCGCUGAACUUAAGCAUAUCAAUAAGCGGAGGAAAAGAAACUAACAAGGAUUCCCCUAGUAACUGCGAGUGAAGCGGGAAAAGCUCAAAUUUAAAAUCUGGCGGGUUCCCCGUCCGAGUUGUAAUCUGGAGAAGCGUUUUCCGUAUCGGACCGUGUACAAGUCCUUUGGAAUGGGGCGUCAUAGAGGGUGAGAAUCCCGUCCAUGACACGGACUACCGAUGCUCUGUGAUACGCUCUCGAAGAGUCGAGUUGUUUGGGAAUGCAGCUCAAAAUGGGUGGUAAAUUCCAUCUAAAGCUAAAUAUUGGCGAGAGACCGAUAGCGAACAAGUACCGUGAGGGAAAGAUGAAAAGCACUUUGGAAAGAGAGUUAAACAGUACGUGAAAUUGUUGAAAGGGAAACGCUUGAAGUCAGUCGCGUCCGUCGAGACUCAGCCUUGCCUUUGGCCUGGUGUACUUCUCGGUGGACGGGUCAACAUCGAUUUUGAAUGGCAGAUAAAGGUCUGGGGAAUGUGGCACCUCCGGGUGUGUUAUAGCCUCUCUCCGUAUAUGCUGUUUGGGAUCGAGGACCGCAGCACGCCCUUGUGGCCGGGGUUUUACCCACGUACCGUGCUUAGGAUGUUGGCAUAAUGGCUUUAAGCGACCCGUCUUGAAACACGGACCAAGGAGUCUAACAUGCCUGCGAGUGUUAGGGUGCAAAACCCUUGCGCGUAAUGAAAGUGAAAGUUGGGACCUCUGUCGAGGAGGGCACCGACGCCCGGCCCUGAACUCUUGUGACGGUGCUGCGGUAGAGCAUGUAUGUUGGGACCCGAAAGAUGGUGAACUAUGCCUGAAUAGGGUGAAGCCAGAGGAAACUCUGGUGGAGGCUCGUAGCGAUUCUGACGUGCAAAUCGAUCGUCAAAUUUGGGUAUAGGGGCGAAAGACUAAUCGAACCAUCUAGUAGCUGGUUCCUGC